rnacentral:lncRNA from 1 species
UGUAAUGUUAGGUGUUCUUGGCUCAAGAACACUGACAAGUCAGUGUUCAAGGUUGCUCGUUUGACCGCUUGUAAUUCCAUGUUCUUACAUGUUCUGGGUUUGCUUGAGCAUCGAUCUUGUAGUAGGUAUGUAAUACUACAAGUAUCAAUCAUCAUCUAGGUCAUAACAUAUCAUAUCAUGAAGAUCUGGGCAUUUUAAAUCACUGUCAGAAUGUUUCUGUGUUUUCCAGAAACCCAGGCAGUUCGAGUGCCUACUUUCUAGCUCCAUUUAAUCUAGGUUCCGGUCAUGAUUCAUGUGAUCUAAUGGUUCAAAUAUGUAGUCCUUAUAUCAAGGAACAUUAUUAAUAUAAAUAUAGAUCAAUCCAACAACAACAUAUUCACAAGUUAUGACUCAGUCAAACCUUGUCAGAAAGUUCGUUCAUACAGUUUCUGGGUUUUCCCAAAACUUAAACCGUGACCGAGUGGCCUGGUUUAACCACUCACUACGUUUGAUAUAUUGAUGAUUUAAAUGAUCUAAAGUCAUGGAUUUAAAGACCAUAUAACAGGCUAUAAACUGGUUACAACAACAACAUCAAAACUCAUAAAACCUGACAGAUCAAUGAGCUUGAAAACGUUGUCAGACGCUGCCUAAGGAUUUCUGGGUUACCUAGAAAUCGCUCGGUUAUGGUCGGUCAACCUACUUUGACCUUAAAUAACUUGCAAGCUGGACAUGGAAUGGUUGUGAUUCCACUUCCAGAUUAUAGUCCGCAUGUCAAACUAUAGAUCCAAAGCAUAAAACAACAAAAAUAAUAAACAGACAAGAAUCUACGGCCACUGACAUUCGGUUGUCAGACCACAUUUUGAGUUCUUGGACAGUUUUUGAAAACUUCACUUUUUAAGGCCUUUGAUGCUAUGGAUCUAUGAUAGAUCAUCAUAGAUCAUCAUGAAACAUCUUCUAGCAUGAAUAUAAACACAUAAACAAGUAUUCUAUCUUAGCAUACAAGAUCAAAAGUAGGUUUUUGGGUUAUACCCUUUCUAAUACAAAGCUUUGAUCUUAGAUCUCCUUAGCUAAUAAUGGUGUUUUAGAGAGGUAUUUUGUGACUGAAAUACUUAGCAAAUUCGGAGGUUUAGAGAGAGAAGGAGUUGGUGAGAGCUUGGGAGAAAAAUAUGACCAAGUAAAGAACUUUCUCUCUUUCAAAUCUAUAGAUAUUAUGAUAUAUUGCUAAGAUCUGAU